rnacentral:rRNA from 1 species
GACGAACGCUGGCGGCGUGCUUAACACAUGCAAGUCGAACGGAAAGGCCCUGCUUUUGUGGGGUGCUCGAGUGGCGAACGGGUGAGUAACACGUGAGUAACCUGCCCUUGACUUUGGUAUAACUUCAGGAAACUUGGGCUAAUACCGGAUAGGAGCUCCUGCUGCAUGGUGGGGGCUGGAAAGUUUCGGCGGUUGGGGAUGGACUCGCGGCUUAUCAGCUUGUUGGUGGGGUAGUGGCUUACCAAGGCUUUGACGGGUCGCCGGCCUGAGAGGGUGACCGGCCACAUUGGGACUGAGAUACGGCACAGACUCGUACGGGAGGCAGCAGUGGGGAAUAAUGCACAAUGGGCGGAAGCCUGAUGCAGCAACGCCGCGUGCGGGAUGACGGCCUUCGGGUUGUAAACCGCUUGCGCCUGUGACGAAGCGGGAGUGACGGUAAUGGGUAAAGAAGCACCGGCUAACUACGUG